rnacentral:misc_RNA from 1 species
AAGUCGUAACAAGGUUUCCGUAGGUGAACCUGCGGAAGGAUCAUUAUUGAAUGAACUUGGAGUUGGUUGUCGCUGGCUGUCUUUGGCAGCAUGUGCACGCCUUCUCCUUUCAUCCACACACCCCUGUGCACUUGUGAGACUGGAGGCCGUAAAAAGCCUUCAGUCUGCUAAAUUCAUAUACAAACUCAUUUAAUUGAACUGAAUGUACUUGAUGUAACGCAUCAUUAAACUAAGUUUCAACAACGGAUCUCUUGGCUCUC